AAAAAGUUGGGGAGGCUUCUGUUGUGAGUGGCACACAUAGGGCAUCGUUUGCUCUUUGUGGAGAGUCAACAUCAAGAGAUUUCAGAAGCAUGAUUUUUUGGUAUUUGGGUAGCUGGUGAUCAUUGGUCCUGGAGCCCUU
ensembl:snRNA